CCCUGGGUGGUGGAAGUGGUUAGCGUGCUUGGCUGCUAACCAAAAGGGUGGAGGUUCGAGUCCUUCUAGAGGUG
rnacentral:tRNA from 1 species